rnacentral:rRNA from 1 species
CCUACGGGAGGCAGCAGUGAGGAAUAUUGGUCAAUGGGCGAGAGCCUGAACCAGCCAAGUCGCGUGAGGGAGUACUGCCCUAUGGGUUGUAAACCUCUUUUGUCGGGGAGCAAAAGCCGGACGUGUCCGGCUGUGAGAGUACCCGAAGAAAAAGCAUCGGCUAACUCCGUUCCAGCAGCCGCGGUAAUACGGAGGAUGCGAGCGUUAUCCGGAUUUAUUGGGUUUAAAGGGUGCGCAGGCGGAUUUUUAAGUCAGCGGUAAAAUCGUGGGGCUCAACCCCAUCCAGCCGUUGAAACUGGGGAUCUAGAGUGUGCGAGAGGUAUGCGGAAUGCGUGGUGUAGCGGUGAAAUGCAUAGAUAUCACGCAGAACCCCGAUUGCGAAGGCAGCAUACCGGUGCACAACUGACGCUCAGGCACGAAAGCGUGGGUAUCGAACAGGAUUAGAUACCCCUGUAGUC